UCAAGAUGUUGAGUAUUGAUUACUAAUCAACUACUAGCCUGGAAGAUAAAAGCCAAAGCUGUAAACAGACAGGUCAGGUAAAUAUAUGAAUGAAGAAAUUGAAACUAGAAGUAAACAUCAUGGGAAGUCUAAUUAUAGGGCAAGUAUUUUUCCUUCAUAUCUUAUUUAACAUAGUCAAACCAUGCAAUACUUAUAGGCUUAACUAUUGUUUUCAUAGAAACAAUGUUAUUUUAAAUAUCAUGAGAUAGCAACAAAUAUUCCUUGGUAAUCUGCUAUCAGAUGACAGUUAUCUCUUUGGCAUUUUUAUGAAUUAAAGCUUUCAAAGCCAAAGUAAGACUUAAUUUUUUCUUUUCUUUAACUGCUAAUUCUAAAAUAAUUUAUCAUUGCAUGUUAAAAAUAACUUGUUAUACAUUUUUCUGUGUUUUUGGUCAAGCUUCAGAUUUGCUUAGCAUAUUCCUGUACUACAUAUCAACAAAUGUUUGAUGGUUUGUCUGGUUCAUCUCUUAACACUAUGAAGAUGGCUACACUAAUCUUAACAAGCAAACAUUCUGUUGCCAACAGUACCAAUUUGUCAUCCUAUCCAAGCAACUACUAUUCCUUGGUAAUCUGCUAUCAGAUGAUUACAGUUUUCUCUUUGGCAUUUGUAUGAAUUAAAGCUUUCAAAGCCAAACCUUAGAUUUGGUUAACAUAACCCUGAACUGCAUAUCAACAAAUGUCUAAUGGUCUGUCUCAUUUCUCAAGACUAUGAAGAUGGCUACACAGGUAUCAGCUAUCAGCAGUGCACCCCUAUGAUACACAAGUCUUCAUUGCCAAGUCACUCUGCCAAACAGUGUGUACACCUUUCUUGCAUUGGUAGUGACCCACUUUACUGUCAUGAGUCUGGAUAUGUCAGGCCAAGGAGAUCAAACAGACUCUACAUGCUACUGAUCUGGAGGUUAGUGGCUCAAUCAUUGUGCACUGAUUCUUCACUGAUGCCUUGAUUCCCCACUGUCAACUUUAUUGUCAUAAAGUUUAUCUAGUGAUCUACAUAUCAAGACUAAAUGGUCAAUUAAACAUGAGGUCAAGGAAAAAGGAUGAACAUUUCAAGGCUACUGAAGGAACAUUAAACGUCUCUCUCACUGUGAAAAGAUUCUACCGAUCUACAAAUGAUCAACAUGUUUUAUCUUAAGUUCGUCUGCCAUUUCUUCAAAUGGAGCCAUAUUAAGAAUAAGAUUCUUUUUGUUCUUCCUUAGGUUCAAAUGUAUCAGUUGUUUUUGUUGACAGAUAUCAAGUUUAGUUGCCUACCAGCAGUUUGGUGCUACAAGUCAACAACAGUCAGACUAAAUUAAAUAAAGCCAUGUCUAUUUCUACAUGAUUUUGUUGCUACUAACCUGGUGUUACUAACAACUAACUCGAAAAGGGAGAGGGGAAUUAUCAUCUUAUUCAUGUACUAUUUACAUUAGAUUUUUACCAAAUUAUUAAAUUUUUACUACCCUUACUAUUUUAACUGUGAAUAGACCUUGAUUUUAAUGAUUUAGCUGUAUAGAAUUUAGCCCCUGUUAUGUAGAGAGAGAGAGUAGUCUUUAAGGGACUGCAGGCACGACAUGGCCUAAAUUGUGCAGAUGUGCAUAAAAUCAAAGAAAUAAAACAUUAACAAAAUGUGUAUUAUAAUUGUCACUUUUCCUCUACUUAGAAUUUUUUUCUCUCCUAGAUUUUCAUAAUUUUUUGUUGAAGUCAUUUCAGUUCUCAAUUAUUUUGUGCACCAAGUUACAAGAAAAAAUUUAAGCAAGAGAGGUCACUACACUAAGACUUUGUCUUCUCAUAAGAAAGGAUGGCUGCCUGGUCAUGUGAUAUGUGCACUGGACUGUGUAUGGUCAUCUUGAUGCUCAUAUCUUGCCUGAUGACAUUUAUUCUGCGAACAUUUGGUCAAGGAAGUAGAUUCUCUUCAGCUCUCAAGAAACAUUCAAAACAUGUCAAACAUUCGACAAGAAUAUCAAGUGCAAUGUACAUACCAACAUGAUGAAAAGGUAGACAACAUGAAGAUGUAGACCAACAUGAAGAGGUAGACCAGCAUGAUGAAGAUGUAGACCAACAUGAUGAAGAUGUAGACCAACAUGAUGAAGAUGUAGACCAACAUGAAGAGGUAGACCAGCAUGAUGAAGAUGUAGACCAACAUGAUGAAGAUGUAGACCAACAUGAAGAUGAAAUGUAAACCAAAAAAUGGGUCAAGAGAUGUAUGGAAUACAAUGUGAACAUCUUGAGAAGUAAAACAAUUCCUAGAGGCAAAGACACAGACACACCGGAUCUAUUAGAGAUUUUCCUUUUCUACCAUCAUUUAGAGACUUCCUUGUGCUCUAAGGGAAUAUGUCAUUAUCUUUUGAUUGCUAAUUGGCAUUGAUGUUUUUACAUUCCUACUGCGUCUGAAAGAAAUUAACAUUUCCCUAAUGCUACUUCAAAACCAGAACUUCUCAAGACAAUUUUAGUGACCAAGCUGCAAUAUGGGACUCAGUAGGAAACAAUGAAGAAUGCUCCUAACCUCAGGUUGAGUAACCAUGCUCACCUACUAGAGUGGCGACAAAUACUUCUACACCCACAGUUAUACAUCCUGAACCCUGUAACCCAACCUCACAACAUGGUUACAUUACCGGAAGUGGUCGCAAGGUCAGAAAACCUAACAGAUACAAUGGAUAGAACAAUGAACAGGUACAAGUACUCAAGUGAUGUACUUUGUGAGAACUAUUUAGGUGGAAUCACCAUAAUUGACUUGUAUAAAUCUUGUUCUAUAUUUAGGUAUAUCUUGACAAUCAGUCCAGUCAUUUGUUCAUUUUUUUUUUAAAUAUUCCUUUUUUUCCCCUCAAUCUUCUUGUUGUUUCAGUUACAUGUUUUUGUAUUUUGAAGGAGGAAGGUGCUUUGGUAUAUUAUCCUUAUUAUUUAUUAUUGUACCAGUAUUAAGCAAACUUGUAUAUCUUUAAUUAUUCAUGAAUUCUAAAGCAGAACGUCACUUCCACCGAAAAAUGUUGUAACAACUAUACGUGUCUUCAGUUAACAUUCAAUACUCUGUACAGUCACAAUGCCAAAGCCUUGCUAGAUUAUGCUUUUAAUUCAAUUUGUUAUCUCCCCUGCUUUAGUGUGCUAUCAUAUAAUUUUUUGUGUCACAUCCCUGCACAAUUUGUUCUAUGCUUUUUUACAGUAUAAAUAGCGACUUGACAUUAUUUAGCUCUAUUAUAAUAUUGUUAUAUUAUUAUAUUUAAAAUAAAACUGUUAACAUAUUCUAUGCUGUUAUAAUAUAAAUGUUUUGCUGUUACCAUGAAUACAGUUUUGAGUUUUUGUCUGAUAUCUUAGAGGAGAAAUUUUUCAUAAAUAAUAAUAAUAAGGCUUAUCUUCAAGUCCGAAGAUUAGUGAGAAGUAUGCAGUAUUCCCCAGCUAGGACCUACAUAUUUUGCUAUAAAUAAAGAGUAUAAUAAUAUUUACUACUUGGUAUUGUCAGUCUUCACUAAAGCAAUGAGUUUAUCCCCUUAGUGUGUUUAAAAUUUUCAAAUACUAAUUCACUUUGUAUUAUCUAUUGGUGAUCAUGGGGUAUCCACUUUGUCAUCUCCAUAGUCUCUGGUGUUAACACUCAGUGUCCUGUUGGAGGUUACGGCUAAGAUGUUAUCUCUCUUUCUGAUGGAACACAUGUAAAACCAACAAAACAAACAUUAGACCUAGACUUUAUUAACAGGUAAAUUUUUAUAAUUGUGAACUGGCGCUCCCAAAACUACUUUUAUGUAUUUUAAAUUUUACUUCUGUAGGCUAGUGCUAAGCUGUAUACUUGUAUUUCUGCCUAUUAUAUGGGUUAGGGUGGAGUACUUAAAAUAGAGCCUAUGCUGUUUCCUGUACUGUUGACCAGUGGUCUCUGUGUCAGUUUUAAUUAUUCUGUACCUGGGACUGCCUGUAAGUUUCAGAAUUUUUAUUUUAUUUUUUAAAAUUUUACUAUGUGUAAAUCUGUUUUAUAUUUGAACAACUGUCAAAAUAACUCGCAGUUUUUUUUCUCUAAAGUUUGUUUUAAAAAUAUGGCCAAGCCCUGCCCAGUGCUGUCAUGAUGGCCACUUCUAGUGUUUAUGUACUAGAUUGUAACUGCUGCCUUAGUCAUUGAAAUUAAAGUCUCAUUUUUGAAUUUC